GGCCCCAUCGUCUAGAGGCCCAGGACGGAUGGUUCUCAGCCAUCAGACACGGGUUCGAAUCCCGUUGGGGCUA
rnacentral:tRNA from 1 species